AGUCUAGGUGUUUGUGUGGUUCCUCUCACUAGCAUGACAGUCUAGGGUUUGUGUGGUCUCUCAGCUAGCAUGACAGUCUAGGGUUUGUGUGGUCUCUCAGCUAGCAUGACAGUCUAGGGUUUAGCUGAAAAAAGAGGAUUCAAAUCAUAAGAGAAACAGUCGGAAGAAAAGACACAAGGAAGAGAUGUUCAAUAAAAUUGUAUAUAUCAAUAUAUAGAAAUAUUUAAGAAUAACAUCAGAAAAUAAUAAAAAGGUGACAGACCAUUUUGGCAAUUUGAGUACAGAUGUUAUUUUCAUGUACAUAAGAACCCAUCUCCCUCCCACAGCAAAACAGUGUAAAAAAAAGACCUAAAGAAGAAAAAAAGGCACGAGAAAACAACAAUUCAUUUUCUAAACAGAGGAGGAUGAAAGACAAUGAGAUGAUAUUGAGAAUAUUGAGGAUGAACCACCUUGUAUGACUUGUACUAAUAAAUAAAAUAAAAAUUGGAAAAAUAAAAGGAUAUCAGAUGAAAACAAGACCAAGCGACAACACAAAACACUUUGGUGGUUAUUAAUUCAUAUUUCGUACAAUCAGGCAAUACAGUGUUCUUUUAUACAAAUAAAUUAAUUUACCGUCAUCAACAAUUUUUUUCUUAUCUAAAAUCUUAUGUACAUCUUUUUCUUUUACACAAUUGUAUAAUACUUUAUCAAACUUUUUUUUGCAAUAUGACAAUGUAUUUACAAAUCAUGAUUUUCAAACCCCCCCGCCAGCUACUCCGGUCCCAAAUACACAAAUUCAUGUGCACUCACCCUGACACACACACACACACACACACACACACACACACACACACACACACACACACACCUCCCCAUGCAAUACACACAUCAUAGAAGGCAUUCUGAGACGGCUGUGCAACAAAGAGCCUACAAAAAGUUUUCAAUAUGGCUGUGGGAUGAACAUAAACAAAACACACACACACCCUCCAUCUCACUCAUUCCCAUUCCCUCCUGACUCUGAAAUGUCUAUUUACCCAGCACAGCGGAGCACUAGUGUAACAGACAUCACAAAAGGAGAGGGGGACAAAAGAGAGGGGGAUAAAGGAGGGCCGUGUUUACUAACAGGAGGAUCCAACCUGACUGAACCUCAUUACUGUUGAGAAGUGCAUACCAACUGUCACCCUAUUCCCUAUAUACUGCACUACUUUUGACCAGAGCCCUAUGGGUUUCCCUGUGGGUCCUGGUCAAAAGUAGUGCACUAUUAAGGGAAUAGGGUGCCAUUUGGGACAAAGUCUAAAUCUGCCACGUGGCCUCGGCCACCAACUCACCUGACAGGAGCCUUUUGUCAGCAAUCAACUUACUACUGAGUUCCUCCUGCAUGAUAGACCUCCUACUGAGAUCCUCCAGUAUGUUAGACCUUCUACUGAGAUCCUGCUGUAUAAUAGGUAGACC
rnacentral:lncRNA from 1 species